CCUACGGGAGGCUGCAGUGAGGAAUAUUGGUCAAUGGACGAGAGUCUGAACCAGCCAAGUAGCGUGAAGGAUGACUGCCCUAUGGGUUGUAAACUUCUUUUAUAAAGGAAUAAAACGAGGCACGUGUGCCUUUUUGCAUGUACUUUAUGAAUAAGGAUCGGCUAACUCCGUGCCAGCAGCCGCGGUAAUACGGAGGAUCCGAGCGUUAUCCGGAUUUCGUGGGUUUAAAGGGAGCGUAGUUGGGUUGUUAAGUCAGUUGUGAAAGUUUGCGGCUCAACCGUAAAAUUGCAAUUGAUACUGGCAGUCUUGAGUACAGGUGAGGUAAGCGGAAUUCGUGGUGUAGCGGUGAAAUGCUUAGAUAUCACGAAGAACCCCGAUUGCGAAGGCAGCUUACUAAACUGUGACUGACAUUGAUGCUCGAAAGUGUGGGUAUCAAACAGGAUUAGAUACCCGAGUAGUC
rnacentral:rRNA from 1 species